UGGGGAAUAUUGCGCAAUGGGCGAAAGCCUGACGCAGCGACGCCGCGUGAGGGAUGAAGGUCUUCGGAUCGUAAACCUCUGUCAGAAGGGAAGAAACUAGGGUGCUCUAAUCAUCAUCCUACUGACGGUACCUUCAAAGGAAGCACCGGCUAACUCCGUGCCAGCAGCCGCGGUAAUACGGAGGGUGCAAGCGUUAAUCGGAAUCACUGGGCGUAAAGCGCACGUAGGCUGUUAUGUAAGUCAGGGGUGAAAUCCCACGGCUCAACCGUGGAACUGCCCUUGAUACUGCACGACUUGAAUCCGGGAGAGGGUGGCGGAAUUCCAGGUGUAGGAGUGAAAUCCGUAGAUAUCUGGAGGAACAUCAGUGGCGAAGGCGGCCACCUGGACCGGUAUUGACGCUGAGGUGCGAAAGCGUGGGGAGCAAACA
rnacentral:rRNA from 1 species